GCCCGCUUGGCUAAGUGGUAUAGCGUGUCACUAGUACUUCGAGGCAACUCCUCGUGCUAGGUGCCAUGACAAGAUCAGCGGUUCGAUUCCGCUAGUGGGCA
rnacentral:tRNA from 2 species